rnacentral:lncRNA from 1 species
CAAUACUACAACUGCAGGAGCUCCUUCAUCUUAAAUUCGGUGUAGCCACAGAAAUACUUCUCAAAGUAAACAUUGGAGAACUGAUGGCAUCAGCAAUGUAUCCUACAAACCAAAAGAAAGACUUGUAACAUUCAGCCUGGACACCUUUGGCCCUGUUACCUUGAUUCAAGAUGCUCAUAUUAACAUGCCGUACCAGUCAUGGGAACUAAGACCACUUGAUGUAAAUAAAGUACUUUUAACUGUGACUACAGUAUUUACUGAGAUUCAAAUACAAAUUAAGGAAAACCUCUGCAUGUUAUCUUCAAUCAAACUAAAAGACAAGAAACACAUCUCUAUUUUGGAAGGAACCUGGAUGACUCCUAUUCCUUUCAUUAUUGCUUUGAAAGAAGCUGGACUGAAUAUC